UACGGGGGGGGCAAGCGUUGUUCGGAAUUACUGGGCGUAAAGGGCUCGUAGGUGGCCAACUAAGUCGGACGUGAAAUCCCUCGGCUUAACCGGGGAACUGCGUCCGAUACUGGAUGACUUGAGUUCGGGAGAGGGAUGCGGAAUUCCAGGUGUAGCGGUGAAAUGCGCAGAUAUCAGGAGGAACACCGGUGGCGAAGGCGGAUCUCUGGGCCUUGCCUGACGCUGAGGCGCGAAAGCUAGGGGAGCGAACAGG
rnacentral:rRNA from 1 species